UUUGAUCCUGGCUCAGGACGAACGCUUGGCGGCGUGCCUAAUACAUGCAAGUCGAACGCGUCUCCGUUAAUGAUUUUAGGUGCUUGCACUUGAAAGAUUUAACAUUGAGACAAGUGGCGAACUGGUGAGUAACACGUGGGUAACCUGCCCUUGAAGUAGGGGAUAACACUUGGAAACAGGUGCUAAUACCGUAUAACAACCAAAACCACCUGGUUUUGGUUUAAAAGACGGCUUCGGCUGUCACUUUAGGAUGGACCCGCGGCGUAUUAGCUUGUUGGUAAGGUAACGGCCUACCAAGGCGAUGAUACGUAGCCGACCUGAGAGGGUAAUCGGCCACAUUGGGACUGAGACACGGCCCAAACUCCUACGGGAGGCAGCAGUAGGGAAUCUUCCACAAUGGACGAAAGUCUGAUGGAGCAACGCCGCGUGAGUGAUGAAGGGUUUCGGCUCGUAAAACUCUGUUGUUGGAGAAGAACAGGUGUCAGAGUAACUGUUGACAUCUUGACGGUAUCCAACCAGAAAGCCACGGCUAACUACGUGCCAGCAGCCGCGGUAAUACGUAGGUGGC
rnacentral:rRNA from 1 species